GCAAAUACGAUGAUUAAGGAAGAGUAGCACGCACCGGGCAUCUCUAGAGAAUUUCGGGUUGGUGGAACGAAAUGAUGACGUGAGUGUGAAUGGGCCUUAUAGUUGCGAGAUGAACGAGCAGUAGUCGAGCCGCAAGCCAGCGUUAACGGGCUAGAGAUAUGUUUGUAUCUCGAGAAAACAAACCCAAAAAGGUGGCACAACGAUCACUUCGUCCUUUGC
rnacentral:ncRNA from 1 species